rnacentral:rRNA from 1 species
CGUCUCUGACGUGGCACGCCGGUACGUUGCGAUGCGCUCUCGAAGAGUCGAGUUGUUUGGGAAUGCAGCUCAAAACGGGUGGUAAAUUCCAUCUAAAGCUAAAUACYGGCGAAAGACCGAUAGCGAACAAGUACCGUGAGGGAAAGAUGAAAAGCACUUUGGAAAGAGAGUCAAACAGUACGUGAAAUUGUUGAAAGGGAAACGCUUGAAGUCAGUCGCGUCUCCCGGGACUCAGUCGGUGUCCGACCGACGUAUUUCCUGGGUUCGGACGGGCCAGCAUCGAUUCGGACCGUCGUAAAAAGUCGAGGGGAACGUGACACCUUCGGGUGUGUGUUAUAGCCCCCUGUUCUGUAUGCGAACGGUCCGGAUCGAGGAACGCAGCGCGCCCUCGCGGCCGGGGUUCUAACCCACGUCACGCGCUUAGGAUGCUGGCUUAAUGGCUUCAAGCGACCCGUCUUGAAACACGGACCAAGGAGUCUAACAUGCUCGCGAGUGUUCGGGUGGAAAACCCGUGCGCGUAAUGAAAGUGAAAGGUUGGGACCCUUCUUUCGAGGAAGGGGCACCGACGCCCGGACUUGAGCUGCUGCGACGGUUCCGAGGCGGAGCGAGUAUGUUGGGACCCGAAAGAUGGUGAACUAUGCCUGAGUAGGGCGAAGCCAGAGGAAACUCUGGUGGAGGCUCGUAGCGAUUCUGACGUGCAAAUCGAUCGUCGAACUUGGGUAUAGGGGCGAAAGACUAAUCGAACCAUCUAGUAGCUGGUUCCCGCCGAAGUUUCCCUCAGGAUAGCAGAGACUCUGUUGCAGUUUUAUGUGGUAAAGCGAAUGAUUAGGGGCCUUGGGGUCGAAACGACCUUAACCCAUUCUCAAACUUUAAAUAUGUAAGAACGGGCCGUCGACUUGUGAUAAGGUAAAGGAAAAAUGAUGAUGUCACUUUACUAGUAGUGUUGUCCAAAGCUGGUGCCAGAAGACUCGGUAAUGCCAGAGACGCAAGCGUUAGUCAUCCUGAUCAGGCGUAAAGGGUUUGUAGGCAGCUUUAAAAUAAUUAAAGAUAGAAUCAUAUAGAGGUCACUUUUAGAUAAUUCUUAGAGUAGGGUUGAUAUCUGUAGAUACUAAGAGGAAUACUAAUUAGCGAAGGCACUUUUCCAAAUAAUGAUUGACGCUGAUAAACGAAGGGGAGGAUAGAAAAUAGGAUUAGAUACCCUCGUAUCCCUCUCUGUCAACGAUGAAUGGUAGUUGCUAGUAUAAAUUAUUAGUGGCGAUGCUAACGCGUUAACCAUUCCGCCUUGUGAGUACGACUGCAAAGUUGAAAACAAAAAAAUUAGUCGGUUUCGGAGCAAACGAAGUGAAGCAUGUUAUUUAAUUC